CGCUGUCCGGGUAGAGGUGCUGCGAAGCCAUGGGAGGAAGAAGCAGCACAGGAAGGAGAAAAAGGAGCCGGCUUCUGGGGUGCCGCCCCUCUCUUCCUGUCCUGGGCUCGUUCCCAUCCACCCGACAGCGGGCUACCUGCCUGCUGAACUCCUUCCCUACGCUUGGCUCUACGCAGCCCAGAUUCUCCCUCUGACACCUGCGGCUGCGUCAUCUCUGCCCACUUCUAAACAAACCGAACCCGGGCAGCUUCCUCUGUGGUUGCAGAAGGACCGUGGAAGUCAGCUCCGUGCUAAUACCAUCGUGACGUAGUCCGAGCCCUCUACCGGGACGCGGACGUCCCUCUGCUACGUGUGGGGCUUUUGUUUGUCCUUUCUGAUCAGGAGCCAUGAUUAUUAUCUACUGACUGCCCGCUAUGACAACAAAUACCUUAUUUCUGCAGGUUAAGUAAGCCCGCGAUGCUCUUUGACAGCACGCAUUUGUGUAGUCAGGACACCGGAGUGAGCUAAGAGGCCGGGGGCUCCAGCCAGCACACGGCGCAGACGGGCGCUGCGUCCAUUCCUCUGCUUGAUGCCCGUCUGCCCUGGAGUGGCCAGACCCUGAGGCUGUCGACUGUGGUUCUGGCAGCGGCUUCUCUAACUGCCCAGAGAGAACACCCUGUUCUGGGCUCCAGUCCCCCUCGCCACCCUGCACGGGGCCCUCCGACGGCUUGUGCUCCGUGGCCCCCCACGCCUGCCCUCUCUCUGCAGUUCCGUCACUGCUCAGGCCACCGAGACAGCCGUGAAAGUAUCCCCAGCCCUCCUGAAACUUUUUAUGUCCAGAUAUUUUCACACUUGCAGAAAAGUCGCCAGCAAGGUGCGGAGAGACCCCAUACAGCUUUCCCCUAUCUCCCAGCUUUUAAAUAUUUUUCUACAUUUCGUUUUUUUCUGUUCUUAGGUUUUAGACUUCCGAUUAUAGCUGUUUCUUCCUCAUUGUGUCUCCAAGUGUCUGAGGACCUCUGUUUAGUCUGGAGGGCUAACUUACAGCCUCCUUCUGCCUCAUGGCUGAUCUGGGGGAGAGAACUGCCAUCAACAGAAGUGCUUCGUGUCAGAUUUUCUGUUUUCCCCUGAGAAACUUCCUAUAGAGUUUCUCUCGGGUUUUUCUAGUCCCAGAUCUUGCGGUGGACGGGCUUCCUGAUUCAGGAGUUCCCUGAUCUUUUAAUGUUCGCGGAUCCAUUUCCAAUGAGGGGCAGUUCCCACACACACAACACGAAGCAAUUCGUUUUAAUUCAACCCAGUUCUGACCCCGUCUACCCAAAGAUUGCAUCAGAUUCCACAGGUUAAGGGCCCGGUCCUACAAGACUGUCCCCCAUCCCCGACGUCAGAUGCCAGUCGCAAGCACAGCUGAGAGCCUGCGGAUUUGCUAUGCGUCAGAGGUUCCAAUGACCCCCUCCUUCGGUUGGGUGCAUCCCCCAGAGCGGCUCACAGAACUCAGGGGAACACUUACUCCCAUUGAAUGGUUUAUUCAAGGCUCUGAUAAGGAAUGCAGGUCAAGGGCCAGAUGGAGAGAAACUUAAGGUGAGACGUCGGGAAGUGGCGCAGCGCGUCCACGCUCUCUCCAGGGAUGCGGCUCUCCCUGUCCGUGCACCCCCCACCAGCCUGAAGCUCUCUGAACACUGUCCUUUUGGGGUUUUACGGAGGCUUCGUUACACAGGCAUGCUUGAUUAAACCUCUAGCCCCUCACCCCUCCUGGCGUUCAACCCUGUGUUCCCAGUUGGUUCCCCAGGAACCAGCCCCCACCCUUGGGUGUUCUUCCUAAGGAACCUCAUUAACAUAAACCCAGGUGCGGGAGUCGUGGGGUUGGUUGCGAAUAACGGGACGCAGCCGUGGCUCUGACGACGCGUCGCAGUAACUGAGGACAAGAAGCCAGUCAUGACCAGGGAUGCUGCCCUUGCUCUUCUCACUCGGGAAAGCCCAAGGGCUCCGGGAGCCGGGAGCCAGGGACUUCCCUAUCUUCCCAGAGAUCCGCUAUCUCCAGGUCUGGUCAUUCUCCAGCGGUGCGUCGCCGUGGUGCUCUGAACGACCGGGGGUUGGACCAGCCUCGGGUGUCUUCGGACGUCACGCUGGACUUGCCUCUUUCCGGGGACGACUCUGUCUGUGUUUCGUCUUCCCCCUGAAUCUGCGACACGCCCCGGCCACAUGCGUGGCCAUCCCGGGACGCGGCCGCCGGAGCGCCGUUGGAGUGUGACGGUCUCUACGUGGAGGUGAUUUGAAGUUUGGUUUUCCCUGCCUCUCCCAGUAAUGCAGAAGGACGCACGUCCCGGGUCACGCCGCUGGUCCAUCCUGCACUUUGAGGAGGCAGGCCGUUCGUAGACGGUCGGACUGUCCCCCAGACAUUCGGAACUUGUGUUUCCCCCUGGUCUUUCCCUUCUUUCCUAGCUGCCGUCUGCGAAACAGGUGAGCGGGCAGCAUGUUGGUGGGUGUGACAUGCCGGGGCGGUCCUGCGGUCCCGGGCGACCAGGCAGGGCUGGGUGGAGCAAAGCCAGCUCUCUGCUUGGGCCUUGGGUCUCCAAGCCAGGGCUCUGCUUUGUGGCACAUCUGAAAGGUAUUCGGACAAAGAGCUCUUUUUUAAAGCCACACGUCUCCAGGGCUCAUGACCGGCGGGCAUCCCUUGGGCUGCCAUCGGGGAGCCCAGCCUGGCUCAGGUGUACCUGUCCAAAGCCCCCCUUUCUGUUUUGAUCUGAAUGGUUUUCAAACCCCUUCCUGGGUCCCGCACGCCUUUUCUCAUCUCAGAAGCACCUGUUUGUCGUUGAAGGAGUUCCCGGAGGAACGUGGUUCCCAUCAUGUCCGUGGGACAGGCCCGGCCCUGCGCUGCCGAUGCCAGUGUCCUGUGCCUCGAAUCCUGAAAACACACUGAGCCGCACACUCGUGCUCUGUUCCCAUAAUUCAGCAGAGAACCGUCUUUUCUGAGUUACGCGUUAGGAAACCAUCCUGUGUGAGCCAGCGUGGACCGGAACGGAGACUGCUGUGCCGGGACGAAGGAGUGGGAAGAGCCGGCCGUGGAGCGAGCUAAGGGGCAGGUCGGAGGCAACGAGACGCGCUCACACUCAAGGGAAGUCGACCGGGAGCCUCCAGACUCCGCAUCCUCGUGACCAGAGCCAGCAGCCCCGCUCCGACGCGCCUCUGACAGGCCCUUCCUGCUUGGCAACGAGAAAACUAAAUUUAACGCAGCUUAACCCGGUAAACAGUCCCGUGGGGCGUUUUUCUCCGUCAUCGCUGGGUUUAAAGCUUUGUGCGUCUCCGGUAAACACCCGGCCCCUUCAGGUGUGAGGGCCGCAGCCUGCCUUCCGGCCCACGCUCCUUUCCAAACCCGGCAGCCCGCGGCGGGCGAUGGGGGGGGAGGGGGACAGUGACAGCUCUCUGUCCCGGCACGCACCCCUGCAGCCGGCCUGGGAAGCCGGCCGGUGCGGUACCGCCCGGGGACGUCUGUGUCCGUGGCUGGCUGCAGCUGGGGGGCGGUGAGGCUUCUCGUCCGAUUCUGGGGUUGCGUGGUGACAUGUGGCCACCUCUGCUGGUCUCGGGUACCACCCCCCACCAGCCUCCCAGCUGGGGAUCCACCCACGCAUGUGGACGCGUGAGACGGACCCGCUGCCCAGUCCCCCUUCUCCGGGGCAACCUGUCGGUGGCAGAGUGGUGUGGCCCGUCUCCGGUCCCUUCUGCUGCCUCUGUGGGUCCACAGGAACCUGAGGAACCUGAGGACUCCCAGCCCCACCUCAGAGCACGGGGGUGGUGGGCGUUGUCUCGGCCAAGCCCUUCUUCACCCCAGUGUGGACAUACCUGCGGGUUCGGUUUCUCAACCAGUUUCCGGGGGGAGUUGCCUCUGCCGUUGCCCAGGGCUCUCCAGACUUCAGGGAGGGUGAUGUGAUGUCACAGCAGAUGGGGAGCACUUCUUACCCCCCCCCGACAUACACAGAGUUUCCCUGGCUGCCCCUGUCACCCUUGACCACCUCUGGGGGGGGCGGUGCUGGCAUGGGAGGGAAAGCGAGCGGCACAUGCCGGGACCAUGUUCCCUGUGGAGUGGGAGUGGGUUUUCUUUCCCACCGUUUCUGCCCCCCCGGAGCACAGGCGCCUGACCCCUCCAGGGCGCAUGUUCUAAAAGCUAAGGGAAAGGCAGCCGUGUCGUGCGACAGCUCCUCACCUCGGCGAAGCCUUUCUCUCCCCCCGUUCCUGUUCUGUGCCAUGAUCCCGUGGCCCCGACGGGAAGCAGCAGCACCCCGGGAUGAGGGGAAUGAAGGCGAGACUUCUGUUCUCCCCAAAACCCUAGACAUCGAGACUCCUGGCUCCAUGCAGAAAUCUUCUGGUCAAUAAAGAACCACCGGACAGCUUAGAAUGAAGAAAAAAACUCUUGCACAGUCUGGAGGCCAGAAGUCGGAAAUCAGGGUUUUGCGGGGAGCCCGUUCCCUCUGCAGGCCCUGGGGAAGGAUCCUUCUGGCCUCUUCCAGCCCCUGGCAGUGCCCACAGUCCUCGGCGUCCCAGGGCUGCAGCUGCCCCUGUCCAUCUCUGUCCCUAUGGCCCGUGGCCUUCUCCCCUGUGUCCGUUUUCUUCCACGUACCUUCA